ensembl:snRNA U6 U6 spliceosomal RNA
GUGCUCGCUUUGACAGCACAUGUACUAAAAAUGAAACAAUACAGAGAAGAUCACCAUGGACAUGCAUAAAGAUUACACAAAUUCAUGAAGUGCUCAAUAAUAAA